GCUUCGUUGGCGAAAUUGGUAUACGCGCCGCACUUAGGAUGCGGUACCCACUGGGUAUCUGGGUUCGACUCCCAGGCGAAGCA
rnacentral:tRNA from 1 species